CCUACGGGUGGCAGCAGUGGGGAAUAUUGGACAAUGGGCGAAAGCCUGAUCCAGCCAUGCCGCGUGUGUGAAGAAGGCCUUCGGGUUGUAAAGCACUUUCAGUGGGGAAGAAAGCCUUGGGGCUAAUACCCUCGAGGAAGGACAUCACCCACAGAAGAAGCACCGGCUAACUCCGUGCCAGCAGCCGCGGUAAUACGGAGGGUGCGAGCGUUAAUCGGAAUUACUGGGCGUAAAGCGCGCGUAGGCGGUCUGAUAAGCCGGUUGUGAAAGCCCCGGGCUCAACCUGGGAACGGCAUCCGGAACUGUCAGGCUAGAGUACAGGAGAGGAAGGUAGAAUUCCCGGUGUAGCGGUGAAAUGCGUAGAGAUCGGGAGGAAUACCAGUGGCGAAGGCGGCCUUCUGGACUGACACUGACGCUGAGGUGCGAAAGCGUGGGUAGCAAACAGGAUUAGAUACCCCAGUAGUC
rnacentral:rRNA from 1 species